UAAAGGGUAUAAAAAAGGAAUGAAACAGCUAACAGUGUACUUCAAGAAUGAGAAAUCUUGCUGACAAGAAAUAGUACUGCUCCCAGCUGAUCUUCUGGUGAACGAAUCCAUGCCUUGAGAAGCUGACAAGACUGAGAGCACCUCUUUGCCUGUAUUGGACUAUGAGGGCAAGACUGAUGUGAAGAAAAAGAAUCCUAGAAUGUGUGACCACAUACAUUACCUUACAACAGCAUCUGUGAUGUCAUCGAGCUGGUCCUCCCUUCUGGCUGCCUUUCUGGAACACAUCUCUUCCUGGGACAAAGGAUGAAAUAUUAAAUUUACACCUAUGAUUGGUAGAGCAGAAGAACAAGAUCAGAAAGAACCAAUGCUUUCCAAUCUCUGCUCAUAAACUCUCAGCUUUGUAUGCAUUGGAUAAGAGGCUAAUUACACUUUGGUAAGAAGAAGUUGUAUCAUUUCUCUGCUUAGGAAUGUUUUUUCUAAGUAGGAAAAACAAUUAAAAAUCUUUUACAGUUGCUAGAAUACAAGCUGUUACAUCAAGCAGAGGAGUACGUGGGACUACUUUAUCUUCACUUUAGUUUUAGGGACUACAGCAGGAGAUCAAAAUAACACUGGCCAUUUGAUUAUAUGAAAAUUGUCGAGAAAGUUUCCCCCCCUCAAAUUAAAGUCAGCUAAUCUUCUUGUUUCUUUGUUAGUGCUGACAAAACAUGCAGAACUCUUACAUCUUAGUGCAUUUUUUUAUAUGCUGUUAGAUUAAGGGAAAAAACAAAACAAAAGGAUUAUGUACAACAGUAACAGAAUAUACAUAUAAAGAUAACCUUGAGGUAUCGAUAGUUGUAUGCAUAUUUCUGUAGCUUUGACUGAGAAGGGAUUAAAAACAAGAAAGAAAUAUAAAGUAUUGUGAAUCAAAUUUAAAUGUAAAUCCUUUGACUAAAAAAAAUGAAAGGUAGUUGAUUUGUAACCAUUCUUUGUUUCUUGCUAAGAUAAUUUUUCUAUGUGGAAGGAAUAUAUUUUUGACCUUAAAUAGAUUAUAAUAUUUAGAUUAGUUCUAACUUUACUCUUUUUCUUCCCCAUGUCUUUAAAUAAAUUAUUUGCUUUUCUAAGUCUGAUAGAAUGUGAAAUAUGAUUUUAUUUUACAUGUAUGCAGCACACUGGCAUGAUUUUGAGAUUAAAGUUAUUUGAAAAAAGUAGAAGUUUUUCUUUAGGUUCUCCUGAAACAAAUUAAAAUCAUAUGGGCGGGGGUGGGGAAGGAAGCGGGGAAUUUAAUGACAUAUUGAUCAAGGCCAGAGGAGUCCCAAAAGGAAAACUCUCCUUUUAUCUUUUUCCAAUUCCAUGCUUUCUUAGCCUUGUUUAUAAAGUGAUGUUACUGUAUACUCAAUGUUCAUGACACACUUGUUGAACCUCAUAUAGCAUGAACAAUGAAAUGCUGUGAAAAGCAAAAAGGUCAGCAGAGCAGUCCCUCUUCUGUGUCAGCUGAUGUAUUGCUGUGUGCUGUGUGAUUUAAUGAUCUGCUUGCUCAAGUACCAAAUUCUCUCAGGAGCAUUCAGCCAUUUGGAGCUUUCUAUGAACAUUGGAUUUUGAAAAAUGGCAUCACCUGCAGCAGAGUGACACUGUCUUAUUUCCAGGUUACCUAUCCAAAUAAAAAAGAGCAACCCAGAUGCCAGAAAUUGGCUUGAAAAACUUCCAAGUUAUAUGUUAAUGAUCAAACGUGCCAAAACUAAUCUAUAGAAUAUUCACAUGGAAGAAAACAAACACUCAUUUGCACAUUCUCUGUAUAAUAAUCUUCUGUUGGGACUUAAUAAACCUGAAUCCAUGGGCCAAGCACAUUUGGAGUGAAGUUUCACUAACUUGACUAGAUUUACACCAGAAAUAACUUUGAUCUUGAACAUUUCAAGCAGGGUCACCUAUUCUGUUGUUUGAUUGAUCUCUUUGCUAAAUGGAACAAUUUAGCUCUUAGAACAAUUGCUCUGCGGUGCAGAAGAAACAAAGCACCAGUAUCUAUUCUUGAUUACAUUAGUGUAUAUCACAGUAACUCUGAAGAAGCCAGAGAAAAAUCUGAAACAAAGUUCACAGUUUUCUUGACCCUUUUUUAGUCAGCGUGAAAGUGUAGAAUAAUGCUGGUGUCAUGAUAUAGCUCCUUGAUGAUAAUAUAACGUGCCAGGCAGUGGAGAAAAAGCAUACGACUGUAUGCUCUUACAACUUACACCAAUAUUGCAUCAAAACAAUUGGGGUAAAAACCGAUGUUGCCAACCAAAUUGGAUCAAGCUGUGGCAAAAUGUGUCCCGCCACAGCUGAUUUGCCUUAUUGAGUGAAACAUGUCACCAAUUGGGCGGGGGUCUCUUGCAGGACAAUGGAUGAUUUCUUCCCUUUGCCUGGGGAUUUACCAUGUCCCUUGCUAACCUGUACCUCCUUGCCAGGACCAGAGUCCUAUGCCAUCCUGUGUCUCACAUGGAGGCAUAGGUCAGUGCAGGUCUCAGCAUGGGAUGGUGUGAAGGUGUGCAGCAGCAUGGGAGCCAGAGAAUCCCUGACAUCCUCUGCCUCCAUGGUGGGACCUGUGCCAACUCAUGCCCUUGGGUGAAGCCUGUGUACCUCUGUGUGAAGCAUGGGUCUGUGCAUAUUCUGGCAAGGAAGGACAGGGUGGCACAGGACCUGGGGAAUUCUUAGUGCCCAGUGCCUCCAUGCUGGGGUCCACAUGAUUUCUUGCAUGGACUAUGCUGACCCAUGCCUCUCACUAAAGCAUAGGCUGAUGCAGGACCCAGUACGGGUCCCUGUGGAGAGAGGCACAGGGCUGUGCAGGUCCUGGCAUGAGGCAUAGAGCACCAGGUAUUCCCUGGGUCCAAUGCCUCCAUGCUGGGACCCACAUGGGCUUUUCCUACUUAUGGAGACAUGCCCCUCGAGAUCCUGGGAUGUGUCACUGUCAUUGGGGAACCCUGAAUUUCUCUGCUUGGAGAGAGGCACUUGACAUUCCCUGGGGUGCAUUUCUGUAAGCAGGGAAAGCUGGGCAGGGCCUUCAAAGGCUUGAGGGGCUCUAUCUUGUCCAGGAAUUCCUGGAGUGCACAGGACACCUCAAACCCUUCGAGCACCUGCCUAGGAUGGCUGGAGAGUGUGGGCAGAUCUAGGUUGCCUGUACUCUCCCUCCAUAAAGCAAACAGAUAUCAGUCAAAAUAUAGCAGCACUAUUUAACUACCUUUUGUCAUGCCACUGAUGUGGCGUGACAAAGGAUAGGGACAUCUAUUUGAUUGUCAUUUCUGCUGCCAUAAACAUUUUUAUGGCAGAACAAAUGCAACGUUAGGCAACAUCUAUUUCUACCCUCGGGGAUUUUCAUUAACAGAAUGUGUGGCUACCAUAGAGAUGGAAAAACAGUAAGAGCUAUUUUUAAUUGAAUAAAUAUUGCAAUAGCCAUUAAUAGGAUAGUGAGGGAGAAGCUGGCACCCUAGCUACGUGUGAGCAACAGUCAAACUCACUCUGUAGGACUAAUGAUCCAACAGAUUAUUUAUUAUAGAAGUAACUACUUAGGGAGUGAAUCUGCUCUUGAGUCAAGAAAAUCCUUCCUUACUGUUAAUGGAAAUUUUUGCAGGAUUAAGCCCUCAAAUAAUUAAAAAAUUCCUGCAGGGUUCCUAACAAUACAACAAUAACUCUAAAAUGUUCUAAGUCUUUCAGAUCCAUAACUUUUCAAUUUUCUUUGUACCAAUAAGUAUCAGAGAUAUCUGAUUCACAAUUUAGCUGGAUCUCAUACAUCUCUACAUUAUGAAUGUCUGUGUCUUUCACAAAGUAAGAUACAGCCACCAGAUCUUGUUCCUUGCCUUAUAUUCACUACUCUAUACAACUAAAACUACCAAACUAGCUUGUUAAACAUACUUAUUAAUUUACAAUGCUAAAUGAUCAUUACCCUUCCCCAAAGGCUCACAACAUUCUCAGAUUCACUGGAAGUUUUGCAGAGGCAAAAACUGAGAAGGUUGAGGUCCACAUGUGCUUUGUGCCAAUGUUUAAAUUAUAGGUGAAUCUGAAGAAGGCAGCUGUGCUUGACCAUCACUGUGCUCCUACUGUGCUAAGAGCAGAAUUGCAACAGAGCAUGUGUGUGCUUGGCAGGAUUUAACAACGCGUGUUCAAGAGGAUGUGGAAUGGGUUACCAAAGGAGUCUGGGAAUGAAUGGAAAAGCAGGGGCAACAGCAGUAAGUCCCAGCUGCAGUUUGAGAGCAUCUACACACCGUUGCAGCAGUUCAAACCAGUCCCCCCGAAAUCCCUGAUCAUCCCUAUCUAAGUUAGGAUGGCAAGAUGCCUGUAGACUUAUACUGGUGAUUUUGAGAAGAUGCAGUUUCUUAAGAAAAGGAACCUGGGCUUCCUGCUUGGCCCCUUGUCUAAUGAGUAAGAUACAUGCUCUGUAUGGGUAUUAU